rnacentral:rRNA from 1 species
AUUGAACGCUGGCGGCAUGCCUUACACAUGCAAGUCGAACGGCAGCGCGGACUUCGGUCUGGCGGCGAGUGGCGAACGGGUGAGUAAUACAUCGGAACUUACCCUGUUGUGGGGGAUAACUCGUCGAAAGAUUAGUUAAUACCGCAUACGACCUGAGGGUGAAAGUGGGGGACCGCAAGGCCUCACGCUGUAGGAGCGGCCGAUGUCUGAUUAGCUAGUUGGUGGGGUAAAGGCCUACCAAGGCGACGAUCAGUAGCUAGUCUGAGAGGACGAUCAGCCACACUGGGACUGAGACACGGCCCAGACUCCUACGGGAGGCAGCAGUGGGGAAUUUUGGACAAUGGGGGCAACCCUGAUCCAGCAAUGCCGCGUGUGUGAAGAAGGCCUUCGGGUUGUAAAGCACUUUUGUCCGGAAAGAAAUCGUGCUGGUUAAUACCUGGCGUGGAUGACGGUACCGGAAGAAUAAGCACCGGCUAACUACGUG